ACCUGGAACAUAGUAGACGCUCCACUCCGUAAACGGGAGAGGGUGAUGCUUAUUCCUGUGGGGAGGACGGGACCAGCGUUGGCUCCCUCCCCAUGUUCCUUCCAGGCCAUAGCCCUUUGGUUCCAAAGCCCUGACUUUUUGGACCCUGUGGCUGCUGGUUUCUUAGGAACCACGGGGGCAGCCUCAGCUUAAUCCAGGCCCCUGGCCUGGCCGAGCCCAGGUCUCCAGGCCUGACUCCUGGGGCCGCAGCCCUGGGGCCUCCUGGUCACUGGGAUGACCUGGUAAACAGAGGGAUUGUUUAGGAAAGUCAGCUGGAGGGGCCAUAGUUUUAGCAAGGUUUCCUGGUGCCUCUCCUUCGUCCUCCAGCUCAGGGCCGGGUGGGGUGGGGCUGGGGGUAAUGACUCCUGGGCAGCCACACCCCACCCCAGGGUCUGUGGCACCUGUGUGCAUCGUCCCAAGCACCACAAGGCACCUGCAGACUUACUCGCUCUCGGAUUCCCUCCCCACACCCAUACACACACAGCUGCCAAAACUCUGCUUCUCCUCCCAGGCACUCUCCCAUGCCCCCUUGUCCAGAAACCUCCCCCAAAGAACUUCAGAGCACAGUCUCGUCAUCUGGUCAUUUCUGUGUCCCCCUUUCCCUCUGAGAGUCCCUUGCAGGAGAAGGGACAACAGAUUUUUUUUUUUUUACCUUCAACUACUUGCACACUGUGUGAUCUCAGGCAGGUGAUUUAACCUCUCUGAGCCCCAGUUCCCUCAUCUGCAAAAUAGGGAUAGUAAUAAGACUGCCUUAUCUCAGGGAUAAAAUGAAAUCAUGUCUGUUAAGGGCUUGCUCACAGUACAUGCUCAGUAAAUGGGGUCUGUUCCUGCUGGCCUCACCAGCACUAUUGUUAUUAUUCAUUCAUUCAACAACGAUUUAUUGAGUGCCUACUAUGUGCCAGGCACUGUUCCAGGCACUUCCAAUACAGCAAAGACUGAAACAGGCAAAAAUCCUACCCUCACUGGAGCUUUCGCUCUAGAGGAAAUAAACACAAUAAACGAGCAGAGUUUAUGAUGUCAGAUGGUGAUUAGUGCUAGAAAAAUAAAGGAGGGCGGGGAUAAGGAGUGUGGGGGUGUGCAACCUGUAAAUAUGGUGAUCAGAGGAGGCCUCCCAAGAGGUGAUAUUUGAGGACAGCUGUGAAGGAACUUGCCACAGAGAUAUGGGGGGAGGGAGAGAACACCAAUAGCAGGAACAGCCAGUGCAAAGGCCCCGAGGUUUUCCCUAUAGAUGGACUCAUUGUCGGUGAGUCGCGGGCCUCUCUCUCUCUCGUUCCUGUUUUAUGAAAGUGUGACAUGCACGUGGAGGAAAGAGUGGUUCUCAACUGAGGAUGAUUCUGUUCCCCCGAGGACAUCUGACGUCUGCAGACAGACUGUCACACUUGCGGGUGGAGGCCGGGGAUCUGCUGGAUGUCCUGUCACGCGCAGGACAACCCCCCACAACAAAGAAUCAUCCGGCCGCAAAUGUCCCCAGAGUGAAGCUGAGCACCCCUUCUCCAAGCAUCGGGGGCGCCAGGGUCGGAGGAGAGGCGGGAGGCGCAACACGCUCAAGGCCACCAGGAAACAGCAAACUCCGAUUCAGACUGUGGUCGAAGGGCUCCCAGCCCAGGAGGCAGACUGACCGGGAUGUUGCCUUAGAGCCUGUUUGCCCAGAUCCCAA